CAAAAGUAUUCUUUUCAUUCUUAAACUUAUUUCUUAAUUUCUCAUAGCUGUUUUCUUUAUUUUUGUAAAAUUUGUAGUUUUUCUCAUAGUUGUACAAUUUUAUUCUCGUUGAAUUUUGAUUUUUUUUUUUCCUUAUAAGACGUACAGAUAUUCAAAAGGUUGUAAAGUUGAACUUCCUGAUUUGUCAACUGGUGUAAGUCCAAUGUCAUUUUGGAAGCUCCAGUCUAAAAAGCCCCGCCCAUCUUUGAACGCUCCCUAGAGCGGCGGAGCUCGCCCCGGGACACUUAGGGCAGCAAGGUGAGGUAAACCGGCCCCCGGGCGGGACGGGGAGGCAGCCUGCUGAACCUUAUAUUUCUUUUUUCCCUUUUUUAUGGAGGCAAUAAUUAAAUAAAAGCUAAAGCUAAACCAACACUAGGCGUAAGGAGGGCCUUCUAUAUCCAAAGAGUAUUGGAAACAGGAAGUGAUGUCAGAGACGGGAUGCACUCUUGUACUCAUCGUCCACAACUUUUCCAAGAGGAGCAAACCACAACCUGCAAACGUGGAAAACUUUCUCUCAAAUGUAGAAGAAUUGAACAAAAAAAGGAAAGUUAAUUAAGCCAAAUUUCUGUCUAUUUUAUACCCUUUUUGAGGAGGCGUCCUCUUUGCCUCCACAUCCCUCCCACGUCACCUCGCCGAGACCCAUCUGUGUCUAGAAGAAAGUAUGAUGAAACCACCAAACAAUGAGCGAACGUAAAGAACACAAAUGUGGCGACGCGUUUCUUGAAGGGCGGGCAUUUUGGAAGGAGCGAAUGGGAGACGGGAAGAGCGGAGGGAGGCGUGUGUUCAAAAAUUCACAAAGGUUUUGUAAUAAAUGCGUCCAUGACAAUAAAAACAAAAACAUUAAAGGGAGAAAAGACAUGUUUCUGUGUUAAACAAUUAGUGCUGCAGCAUUAGAGGCGAUCAGGAGGAGACAAAAGCGCUGCAGCGGCAGGGGGUUUACCCCAGACACAAAGACACAAAGACAGAUGCUCUGCAGCCCAGCCAAGCUGCAGCACCACUCCGGUUCGGCGGUUUGGAAGCUCGGAGGGAUCUUUGGGUUCGUUCUGGGGAGACUGUGAGCUGCAGUUUGUCUACGUCAUCGGCUCGUCUGGAUAAUUAAAUUCAUUUGUGACCACGAGCUACCAGACAUCCACGACAACAACGCAGCAUUUAAAACUUCCGCAAAAGUUACCGCCCCCUCCUAUUUGGUGACGAGAAAAGGUGCUUUUGCCUGCGUAAAUAUUUAGGACUUUCCAAACCUGCGUGGCCUCCUUUGGUAAAGCAGCUGCAUUUUUUAGCCAGAAUUAUCGAAACGAUCUUUUUCUGAAACCAGCAGUCAGAUUCAAGUCUGUCUUCUGCUAGAAGGACCUUGAACCGAUUUUUCCUGUGUUUGUGUCUUCUUCAGCAUUUGCUGGUAAUUAAUGUUCAUAAUUAACGGCAACAGGCAAGCAGCCCCACACCAUCACACUACCACCACCAUGUUUGAGUGUUAAUUCAAUAAAGUUCAUUGUGACUACAAAGUUAACUAAGUUCUUAAGUUAUUUUUUCUCAGACACGGUUUGUGUUUGUCAACAUACCUUACACGUUUCGGUGGAAUCACUUCCACCUUCGUCAGAGUCGUCAUCAGGUGGUGGUGAUGUGACGUCUUUAAAAACAGAUGAUUCUGACGGGGCGGAGUCACCUGUCAGACUUUGACAAGUGACUCCGCCCCUUGAUGUCAGUUUUAUUGCUGGAGGAUGUUGCUCCAGGUGUGGGAGAGAAGUAAGGCCACCUCAUCCCGGUUCA
rnacentral:lncRNA from 1 species